CAUCUCCUACAGAAAAUAUGGCAUCACAAACCCUACCUCCACGACAGGAUAAACUCACAGAUUCAGUGGAUGGGGAAACCUUCUGUGAAAAGCAGGAAUAUUCAGAUUAUGACGGUGGGACGGAGUCUGAGAAGUUGAACAAUGAAGGUAAGAUCCAGAAAGCUCAAGAGAUCCAGACGGAGGACAUUGACCACAAGUCUGAGGACAGCAUAGUUGAAGAACUGAGCCAAGAUGAUCAGAGUGACAUUGACAUUGAGGCGGUACAUUUAGUGGAGGUUGAAAGCAACAUCAGCAGCUUCACAAAUAUGAGGAAACCAGCGGCAUGCGCAGCAGUACUGGAGGACCAGUCUGGGCAACAGUCAGCAAAGCCAAAAGACAUGGCAAAGGAACAGAAGGAUGGUGAUAUGAAGGCAGAAAUAUUUAGGGUGGAAGAACAAGGGAAGAGAGUUCAAGAAAACAGCCAGAAGCAUAAUGUAAGGUCUGUGUUCUGUCCAUGUCUAAUUUCUGUGUUUGUCUCCCUUGUGUGGUCGCAUGUUUGUUCCCGUGUCUAGUCCUCGUGCUUCCUUGUUCCCGCCAUGUGCUUUCCCUGUGUUUGUUUGUCUGUGCCAUGUGCCCUCUUGUUGUUGUCCGUGUCUCCACCCCUCACCUGUUCCCAAUCUCCCGGGUUGUGUGUGUCAUUGGGUUCACCUGUGUCCUGUUAAUUCCCCUGGUUUAGUCCACCUGUGUCCUUGUCUGCCCCGCCUUGAUUGUUCUCACCUGUCCCUCGUUAUCUGUUGCCUGUGUGUAUAUAUAGUCCUUUUCUUGUUCCUCGUUGUGUCGUCGUAAGUUUGUGUUUGAUGGUAUGUUCCUUGUGUUGCCACUGCUCCUCGUGUAUUCCUAGCGUUUAGCGCUUCUGCCUUGUUCAAGUGAUUACUUGUGCUUCUGACCUCUGCCUGCCCUACUACUAUUCUCCUGCCUAUUCCCUGUGUGGAUUUGUUUGCCUAUUUUUGGACUGCCUACCUGUGUACCGAACCCUGCUAGUAAACGUUUAUUCUUCUGAAUCUACCCCUGUGCUGAGUCGUGCGAUUGAGUCCUGCACAACACCCACCAGUCGUAACAGUACGACGACACCAAAGAUGGACUCAGCCGACUCAGACUCAGUGCUCAGACUCAGUUUGAGCAAACAAGCCUCCUCUCUCUGCCUCGUGACAAGGGGAAUAGAGGAGCAAGGGAGAAGUUCCCUGAAGUCCCUGAACCUGCUGUUGGGACAAUUCGAGCAGCUCCUGGAUCGUUGGGAUUCCCUCGCUGCACCUCCCUCUCCAGCUCCGGUUCCAUGCCGCCUGGAUUCCGGCUCCAGGGUUUCAGCUUCACUCGCCAAUACUGCUCUGGCUUCAGCUCCGACUCCCCGUCUCCUGCCUCCCGCCGUCAGGACAGCCGCAGUCGCCCUAGGAAGAGCUUCUGACGCUGUCAACCUCGAAGCAGCCUCUACC
rnacentral:lncRNA from 1 species